rnacentral:rRNA from 1 species
UACAGAGGGUGCAAGCGUUGUUCGGAAUUAUUGGGCGUAAAGGGCGCGUAGGCGGUGCCACAAGUCACCUGUGAAAUCUCCGGGCUUAACUCGGAGCCUGCAGGCGAAACUGUGGUGCUGGAGUGUGGGAGAGGUGCGUGGAAUUCCCGGUGUAGCGGUGAAAUGCGUAGAUAUCAGGAGGAACACCGGUGGUGUAGACGGCUCUCUGGACCGUAACUGACGCUGAGACACGAAAGCGUGGGUAGCAAACAGG